rnacentral:lncRNA from 1 species
CGUAGAUGAGACUCCAUCUGCCCGGAGCAGCUUUCCUGAGCCUUGGAGGAUAGCUUCGUCAUGGCUCCUAGACUUCCGUUUAUCCUUGCUGCCUAUCUGGUUGCAGCCUGCAGCCUGGCCAUCCUGCAGGCUGGGAAGCACAGCCCCUGGCAAAAACCAGACGCGAGCACUUCAGAGAAGGAAGGAUGAGACAGGAAUUGAAGCUGAACAGUUUCCAGAUGUGGCUGAAGGCAAACAGUAAUUGCCCGGUUUAAUGGAAGAUGGUUAAGCCUGUGUUGGACAUCUGCUGUCUUUGCCGCCCUAGUCUGCAUUUCCCAGUAUUCUGCCAGCAGAAACCGCUGAAGCUCAUGAUGUGAGGCAAAUCCUCUCCGACUGCAAUUCCUCCCUAACUACAUUCCCCUGGACGCUUUCCUUUACCUGGCACACCACUGAAAAAAAGAAGAGGAACCCAUGUUUCAAACCAACGGAUUGUUUAGCAGCCACAUCUGUACAAGCUCAAAAAAAAAAGAAAAGAAAAAGCCUGGGUGCUUUCUCCUUUGGCACCAGCGAGACAUCCAAACCAUGGAAACCUCUGCCCAUAUGGAAUGCUCACCCUGGUCCCACGGUGAAUCAUAAUAGAGACCCAAGCCAGUCACCUUUCCUGGCCCUCACAAACCAUUUCUGACCUGCUUGAGAGGUCUGCCCGGUUCUCCCAGAGACCUCAAUUAUAGUUGAAGACCAUGUAUAUACAAGAAGCGAGAGUAGAGACCUGCUACUAAGGCCAGUGGGAAAGCGAAAGCACUUGGUGAUCUCUUUACGCAUACCUGCUCCCCUUCCACUUUCCACCAUGACUGGAAGCACCAUGAGGCCCUCACCAGAUGGAGCUGCUCAAUCUUAAACUUUUCAGCCACCAGAAUUAUAAGCCAAAUAAACUUCUUUUCUUUAUAAAUUACCCAGCCUCAGGCAUUCUGUUAUGGCAACACAAGAUGGACAAAGACAAUGCUAGAACUACUAGAAAGUGAGUUUUCUCUUUUGCCCUGGACUGACCAGACACCACCACUUGGAGCCUGAAACUAAAGCUGAUGGAGUAGAAGGCAGAGCUGAUAGAGAGAAACAGAUUUGCGAUAAUAGCAUUUCUACCUUGUCU